rnacentral:rRNA from 1 species
UACGGGGGGGCAAGCGGUUGUUCGGAAUUACUGGGCGUAAAGGGCUCGUAGGUGGCCAACUAAGUCAGACGUGAAAUCCCUCGGCUUAACCGGGGAACUGCGUCUGAUACUGGAUGGCUUGAGUUUGGGAGAGGGACGCGGAAUUCCAGGUGUAGCGGUGAAAUGACGUAGAUAUCUGGAGGAACACCGGUGGCGAAGGCGGCGUCCUGGACCAACACUGAACACUGAGGAGCGAAAGCCAGGGAGCAAACGGGAUUAGAAACCCCG